UUCCUGGUGGUUUCAGGCUGUGUUCCUGAUGGUUUUGUGGUUUCAGGCUGUGUUCCUGGUGGUUUUGUGGUUUCAGGCUGUGUUCCUGGUGGUUUUGUGGUUUCAGGCUGUGUUCCUGGUGGUUUUGUGGUUUCAGGCUGUGUUCCUGGUGGUUUUGUGGUUUCAGGCUGUGUUCCUGGUGGUUUUGUGGUUUCAGGCUGUGUUCCUGGUGGUUUUGUGGUUUCAGGCUGUGUUCCUGAUGGUUUUGUGUGGUUUCAGGCUUUGCUCCUGGUGGUUUUGUGGUUUCAGGCUGUGUUCCUGAUGGUUUUGUGGUUUCAGGCUGUGUUCCUGAUGGUUUUGUGGUUUCAGGCUGUGUUCCUGAUGGUUUUGUGUGGUCUCAGGCUGUGUUCCUGGUGGUUUUGUGGUUUCAGGCUGUGUUCCUGAUGGUUUUGUGGUUUCAGGCUUUGCUCCUGGUGGUUUUGUGGUUUCAGGCUGUGUUCCUGGUGGUUUUGUGGUUUCAGGCUGUGUUCCUGAUGGUUUUGUGUGGUUUCAGGCUUUGCUCCUGGUGGUUUUGUGGUUUCAGGCUGUGUUCCUGGUGGUUUUGUGGUUUCAGGCUGUGUUCCUGGUGGUUUUGUGGUUUCAGGCUGUGUUCCUGAUGGUUUUGUGUGGUUUCAGGCUUUGCUCCUGGUGGUUUUGUGGUUUCAGGCUGUGUUCCUGGUGGUUUUGUGGUUUCAGGCUGUGUUCCUGGUGGUUUUGUGGUUUCAGGCUGUGUUCCUGGUGGUUUUGUGGUUUCAGGCUGUGUUCCUGAUGGUUUUGUGUGGUUUCAGGCUUUGCUCCUGGUGGUUUCAGGCUGUGCUCCUGGUGGUUUCAUGUGGUUUCAGGCUGUGCUUUUGGUGGUUUUGUGGUUUCAGGCUGUGCUACUGGUGGUUUUGUGGUUUCAGGCUCUGCUCCUGGUGGUUUUGUGGUUUCAGGCUGUCCUUUAAGUGGUUUUUGCUGUGUUGUGCUGAUUUAUGUUACUCACUGUUUGUUCGUUAUUCGCCUUUUUAAAUGCUUUAAUUUGCUGUUUUAAUCUUGAUUCUAACGGUCCCUGAUUGUGCCCUUUGAGAACAGGUCCCCACCCCCCCGGCCUGGCCCCUUAAUCAGCUGAACCUUAAUAUGGAGCACCUGUGGCAAAAUGGCGGCCGUGUCUAGUCUGCCUGCAGGUUGCCACAUGGUCCUCACACUAAGUAGCCUCCUGUGUGCCUCAGAAGAACUGGUGUCUGGUUUGAGUGUUUCCUGUUCCUUUGCUUGAGGUGGAAAGACUUGAGGCCAGUUAACUGGUCUCCAGCCAUGCCCUUGUCCAGUUCCAGAAGAAAGCAGAUGAGCCCAUGAUUUCCUGCUGCCCUCCCACAACCAGCGCUGAUCCUCCUGCAACCAGAUGACUGCGCUACGUUGACUUCAGGAGGAUUUUGCUGUUAUGCUGGUCAACUCCUCCCCCUGGCCUGGCCCCUUAAUCACCUGAACCUUAAUAUGGAGCACCUGUGGCAAAAUGACUGCCAUGUCUUGUCUGCCUGCAGGUUGCCACAUGGUCCUCCACACUAAGGUCAACUCUUCCCUUGCUGCCCUCGUCACCCACACUGCUGAGCGGUCACCAACUCGGGUUCACACCAGUCAUCACUGGAGAAUACCAGCCGACCGGCAGACCACCUGCCCUUCUCUUCAAGCGGCGUGCAGACUUCCUGCUUCACCAACGACGGCUCCCUCAUACCAGUACACACUGAGGUCAAUACCCCCCCCUGCCCACUUUCACUUCACCAGGGUUAACCUUGUCCAGUUCCAGAAGAAAGCAGAUGAGCCCACGGUGUUGUAGAAAGCUUUAUUUUGCAUUGACAUUGAAACACCACCACACAGUGUGUUUUUGAGAGACCUCUCAAACCCCAGAAACUGUCGCUGCUCGGGUGAACUCUGGCCAAUGCGUUA